AGUGCGCAUUUGUGAGCAUUUAUAAUUUUUUUUUACAUAUGUGUCGUGUGUGUGUGUGUGUGUGUGUGUGUGUGUAUAUAGGUUCACGCUCAUGUGCAAACACAUACAUACA
rnacentral:pre_miRNA from 12 species